rnacentral:rRNA from 1 species
GAGAGCGGCGGACGGGUGAGUAACGCGUAGGAAUCUACCUGGUAGUGGGGGACAACAUUCGGAAACGGAUGCUAAUACCGCAUACGCCCUACGGGGGAAAGGAGGGGAUCUUCGGACCUUUCGCUAUCAGAUGAGCCUGCGUAGGAUUAGCUAGUUGGUGGGGUAAAGGCCCACCAAGGCGACGAUCCUUAGCUGGUCUGAGAGGAUGACCAGCCACACUGGGACUGAGACACGGCCCAGACUCCUACGGGAGGCAGCAGUGGGGAAUAUUGGACAAUGGGGGCAACCCUGAUCCAGCCAUGCCGCGUGUGUGAAGAAGGCCUUCGGGUUGUAAAGCACUUUCAGUGGUGAGGAAAGGGUAACCGCUAAUAUCGGUUAUCUGUGACGUUAGCCACAGAAGAAGCACCGGCUAAUUCCGUGCCAGCAGCCGCGGUAAUACGGAAGGUGCGAGCGUUAAUCGGAAUAACUGGGCGUAAAGCGCGCGUAGGUGGUUGAGUCAGUCAGAUGUGAAAGCCCCGGGCUUAACCUGGGAACUGCACCUGAUACUGCUUAACUAGAGUACGGUAGAGGGCAGUGGAAUUUCCUGUGUAGCGGUGAAAUGCGUAGAUAUAGGAAGGAACACCAGUGGCGAAGGCGACUGCCUGGACUGAUACUGACACUGAGGUGCGAAAGCGUGGGUAGCAAACAGGAUUAGAUACCCUGGUAGUCCACGCCGUAAACGAUGUCGACUAGCCGUUGGGAGACUUGUUCU